CCGAGUUAUCCAACUCCCAAACCCACUGUGAACCUUACCCCUACGUUGCUUCGGCGGGACCGCCCCGGGCCACCGAGCCCGGAACCAGGCGCCCGCCGGAGGCCCCAAACUCUCCUGUCUCCCACAGCGGAAUCAUUCUGAGUGGCCCUCAGCGGCAAAACAAAUGAAUCA
rnacentral:misc_RNA from 1 species